GAAGCUUAUAACCCUUGGAUUUGGAAAACAACAAGCGCUUUGCAGUCCCUACAGCAUGAUAAGAACCAUGGUUGAUGGAACAAUUAGAGCAUAGCCACCGACGAACGCCACACUCCAAGAGGAGCCGCGGCUGGCUGGACGGCGGUCGGAUGAUCGGCUGGUGGCGAUCUAAGCAGCGUAGGCCGCUGCUUGCCAUGUGUCACCGCUGGAGGAUUUUAAUCUUGGCCGGUGAUUGGCUAUCUCCACUUGGAAAACACUAUGUUGUUUCAUGAAAAGGAAAGUGGGAUGGAGGGGAAGAUCGACCUAUGGGGAGUAAUGAGAAGUGCCAAUUAUUGUGAUGGAUCUAGAGGAAAAUACAUUCUGCACACGCGUGUCUCCACGACGGCUGCCAUGGCACAGCAGGGCGGGGCCUCUUCCCUCCCCCCUCCCCUUGCUCGAUGCACCAGCCAUGGAGGACCUCUUACCUGCUUCUUGUGUCUGCAGGUGACGGUCCGUGAGCGUACCCGGCGCGAGGAGCUCUCCGCAGCGCAGGUACGACAUCGGGGAGGCAAGGAUGACGAGAUGGUGGUCGCUUUCCCGGAGCUGCUGCUGCCGGCGAUUUACGCCACCACCACCCCGAGUUGUCUGCGUCGUUCUAGACCUGCGCCUGCCGGCCACCAUUCAGUACAGCUGUAGCCCAUCACAUCCCCAACCUACUGCUCCCGGAGCCGGUCAUUUGAGUAUGGAGAGACGACGGCUUGAGAUGAACUCAAGAACUUGCUCUUUGAAAGCGGCAAUGUCAAGAAAUUGAAGGCACUAUUUGGCUCACCCAUGAGAAGCGCAAAAUAUAAUACAUGGAGGUAUUAGGCUGUUUACUGAAAUAUCACCACACUGCAGUACCAGUGGAUUCCGACAAAUCUUGCAGGUUCAGGGGCAGGCCACACCAACGGCAGAAGAGAGAGCUCAGAAAUUGUUUGGUAUCCAUCAUCAGCCUUUGCACCUAUUCGUGAUAUAUGCGGCUUUGCUAGAUGUACCUUCAUCUAUGGUAGGCCUCACCAUAGGUGGUCUGCUUUAUUUCAGCCAGUUGUGCACCAUGUACUA